AGUGAACGCUGGCGGUAGGCCUAACACAUGCAAGUCGAACGGCAGCACAGUAAGAGCUUGCUCUUACGGGUGGCGAGUGGCGGACGGGUGAGGAAUAUAUCGGAAUCUACUUUUUCGUGGGGGAUAACGUAGGGAAACUUACGCUAAUACCGCAUACGACCUACGGGUGAAAGCAGGGGAUCUUCGGACCUUGCGCGAUUGAAUGAGCCGAUGUCGGAUUAGCUAGUUGGCGGGGUAAAGGCCCACCAAGGCGACGAUCCGUAGCUGGUCUGAGAGGAUGAUCAGCCACACUGGAACUGAGACACGGCCCAGACUCCUACGGGAGGCAGCAGUGGGGAAUAUUGGACAAUGGGCGCAAGCCUGAUCCAGCCAUACCGCGUGGGUGAAGAAGGCCUUCGGGUUGUAAAGCCCUUUUGUUGGGAAAGAAAAGCAGCAGGUUAAUACCCCGCUGUCCUGACGGUACCCAAAGAAUAAGCACCGGCUAACUUCGUG
rnacentral:rRNA from 1 species